UCGGCGGGGAAGAAAUCGCAUCUCCUAAUACGGGGUGUGGAUGACGGUACCCGAAUAAGAAGCACCGGCUAACUACGUGCCAGCAGCCGCGGUAAUACGUAGGGUGCGAGCGUUAAUCGGAAUUACUGGGCGUAAAGCGUGCGCAGGCGGUUUUGUAAGACAGAUGUGAAAUCCCCGGGCUCAACCUGGGAACUGCAUUUGUGACUGCAAGGCUAGAGUAUGGCAGAGGGGGGUGGAAUUCCACGUGUAGCAGUGAAAUGCGUAGAGAUGUGGAGGAACACCGAUGGCGAAGGCAGCCCCCUGGGCCAAUACUGACGCUCAUGCACGAAAGCGUGGGGAGCAAACAGGAUUAGAUACCCUGGUAGUCCACGCCCUAAACGAUGUCAACUAGGUGUUGGAAGGGUUAAACCUUUUAGUACCGUAGCUAACGCGUGAAGUUGACCGCCUGGGGAGUACGGCCGCAAGGUUAAAACUCAAAGGAAUUGACGGGGACCCGCACAAGCGGUGGAUGAUGUGGAUUAAUUCGAUGCAACGCGAAAAACCUUACCUACCCUUGACAUGUCCAGAAGCCUGAAGAGAUUUGGGUGUGCUCGAAAGAGAACUGGAACACAGGUGCUGUAUGGCUGUCGUCAGCUCGUGUCGUGAGAUGUUGGGUUAAGUCCCGCAACGAGCGCAACCCUUGUCAUUAGUUGCCAUCAUUUAGUUGGGCACUCUAAUGAGACUGCCGGUGACAAACCGGAGGAAGGUGGGGAUGACGUCAAGUCCUCAUGGCCCUUAUGGGUAGGGCUUCACACGUCAUACAAUGGUCGGUACAGAGGGUUGCCAAGCCGCGAGGUGGAGCCAAUCCCAGAAAGCCGAUCGUAGUCCGGAUCGUAGUCUGCAACUCGACUACGUGAAGUCGGAAUCGCUAGUAAUCGCGGAUCAGCAUGUCGCGGUGAAUACGUUCCCGGGUCUUGUACACACCGCCCGUCACACCAUGGGAGUGGGUUCUACCAGAAGUAGUUAGCCUAACCGCAAGGAGGGCGAUUACCACGGUAGGGUUCAUGACUGGGGUGAAGUCGUAACAAGGUAGCC
rnacentral:rRNA from 1 species